rnacentral:rRNA from 1 species
GACGAACGCUGGCGGCGUGCUUAACACAUGCAAGUCGAACGAAGUGGCGAACGGGUGAGUAACGCGUAAUCAACCUGCCCUUCAGAGGGGGCCAACAGUUGGAAACGACUGCUAAUACCGCAUACUGAAGGAGGGGAGUGCGUCUGAUUAGCUAGGUGGAGGGGUAACGGCCCACCAAGGAGCUGAUCAGUAGCCUGUCUGAGAGGAGGAACGGCCAAAUUGGGACUGAGACACGGGCCAGACUUCUACGGGAGGCAGCAGUUGGGAAUCUGUCGCAAGGGACGAAAGUCUGACGGAGCAACGCCGCGUGAGUGAUGACGGCCCUCGGGUUGGAAAGCUCUGUUAAUCGGGACGCGGUACCGGAAUAGAAAGCCACGGCUAACUACGUGCCAGCAGCCGCGGUAAUUC